CAACUUUCAUUGUUAGAGAGAGGAGAGAGAGAGAAGCCUUGUUGGUUGACGUCACUUGGUUCAUGAAGCCUUCGCCUAGAAGUGAAGCUGCUGAACAAACCUUGAGAAGAAUCAUCUCCUGCUUCAAUCUGCUGCUGGAUAGGAACUAAUCAGAGAGAGAGAGGCGGAAGACGGAGAAGGAGGGAGUCGAGGUCUUUCCCGAUCACAAAUUUCACCUCCACUCCAACUCUCUUUAUACUUUUCUUGCAGAAAUUAUAAGAGAAAUAAGGAGGUGGGUGGUAGGGAGUUCAAAAAUCUUAACCUUCAACCAUCUGGGUGAGGCAAAAAUCCCAUCUACUGCAACUCUCACUUCGAAAGUAAAGGUUUCUCAACAGUAAUGUCACAAGAUUGACCACACUGAUCAUACACAAUAUGGAGUCUGGAGAACGAUUGCCAUCUUCAACAGCCUCCUCUACUACACCAACUUCAUCUUCUACACCCUCUGUGGCUUCAGCAAUUUCAAAAGGCGGCCUUUCUACUGGAGUUUCUUCACUUAGCUCUGCAAUCAACCCAUGUGGACAUAUAUUCAGAGCAGCUGGGGAUCAACCGUUUAACCUGUCCACAGUGUCGAGUGCCUUCCCAAUGGUCAGCCACCCAGUCUUUGGUCUACAUUCAGCCAGCUCAGGGCAUUCAGAAUUUGGUGGUUUGGGGACACUUGGUACACCCACAGCCUUAGCCGCACAUCCCCAACUAGCAUCUUUUCCAGGUGCAGAAUGGUGGCGAACAACAGAUAUUCAUACCCGUACAGGAGCACCUUUCUUUCCACCAUUACUAGGAAUUCCACCACUGUUUGCUCCUCCAGCCCAGAAUCAUGAUUCAUCUUCAUUCCCUUCAAGGACUUCAGGAAAAAGUAAUCGAACUGUUCCUGAAAAAGGUGUAAAUGGGUCAAUUAAUGGAAACAGCACAUCAUCUGUAAUUGGUGUCAACACAUCAGUACUAUCCACUACUGCUUCAAAUUCCAUCGGACAGACUAAAAGUACAAGUUCAGGUGGAGGAAAUCGGAAAUGUAAUCAGGAGCAAAGCAAAAGCCAGCCUUUGGACUCUAGAGCAGACAAAAUCAAAGAUAAGGAAAGUUAUUCUUUAAAGGAUAUAUAUAUCUACACACAUAUAUAGUUUUAAACAUAUAAAUGUGUGUGUGUGUGUGUGUGUGUAUACACACACAUAUAUAUCAUUUCUAAUGUCACAGCCAGAAUCUAGCUUGGUGUGGUGGCACACACUGGUAAUACUGGCACUGAGAGGCUGAGGCAGGAGGAUCCUUAGUUCAGGCCCAGCCUGAGCAACUUAGCAACUUAGUGAGACCUUGACUAAAAACACAGAAAUAAAAAGGGCUGGGGAUGUAGCUCAGUGCAAAGCCCCUGGCUUCAAUCUCUAGUACCUCAAAAGUAAAAAAAAAUAAAAAUAAAAACUAAAACCACCAGCGUUUGCAGAUUAAUUUCCUAUGCAUUAUGAAAUCCUAU
rnacentral:lncRNA from 1 species